AGUAUUACGAGCCACAGCUUAAAAUUCAAAGGACUUGGCGGUGCCUUAUAUCCCCCUAGAGGAGCCUGUCCUAUAAUUGAUACCCCCCAAUAAACCUCACCACCUCUUGCAAAUACAGCCUAUAUACCACCGUCAUAAGCCCACCUCACCAGAGAACAAUAGUAGGCUUGAUAAUUUCAAAUUAAAAAGUCAGGUCAAGGUGUAGCAAAUGAGUUGGAAAGAGAUGGGCUACAUUUUCUUUUAAAAAAUACAAAAUAUUUUAUGAAACAAAACAUGAAGGAGGAUUUAGUAGUAAAAAGAGAGUAGAGUGUUCUUUUUAA
rnacentral:rRNA from 1 species